GACGAACGCUGGCGGCGUGCUUAACACAUGCAAGUCGAACGAAAAGAGGGAAAGAGCUUGCUCUUUCCGGAAUUGAGUGGCAAACGGGUGAGUAACACGUAAACAACCUGCCUUCAGGAUGGGGACAACAGACGGAAACGACUGCUAAUACCGAAUAAGUUCCAAGGGCCGCAUGGCCCAUGGAAGAAACGGUGGCCUCUACCUGUAAGCUAUCGCCUGUAGAGGGGUUUGCGUCUGAUUAGCCGGUUGGAGGGGUAACGGGCCACCAACGGGGCGGACAAGUAGCGGGCUGAGGAGGAGGACCGCCAAACUGGGAAUGGGACACGGGUCAGGACUCUUCGGGGAGGAGCAGGGGGGGAACUUUCGAAAAUGGGGGAAACCUGACUGAACAACGCCGCGGGGGGGAUGGCAGGCCUCGGGUUGUAAAACUCUGUGAUCCGGGACAAAAAGGCAGAGUGCGAAGAACAAGCUGCAUUGACGGUACCGGAAAAGCAAGCAACGGCUAACUACGUG
rnacentral:rRNA from 1 species